rnacentral:rRNA from 1 species
CCUACGGGAGGCAGCAGUGAGGAAUAUUGGUCAAUGGACGCAAGUCUGAACCAGCCAUGCCGCGUGCAGGAAGACGGCUCUAUGAGUUGUAAACUGCUUUUGUACGAGGGUAAACGCAGAUACGCGUAUCUUUCUGAACGUAUCGUACGAAUAAGGAUCGGCUAACUCCGUGCCAGCAGCCGCGGUAAUACGGAGGAUUCAAGCGUUAUCCGGAUUUAUUGGGUUUAAAGGGUGCGUAGGCGGUCGGAUAAGUUAGAUGUGAAAUCCCGAGGCUCAACUUCGGAAUUGCCUCUGAUACUGUUCGGCUAGAGAGUAGUGGCGGUAGGCGGAAUGUAUGGUGUAGCGGUGAAAUGCUUAGAGAUCAUACAGAACACCGAUUGCGAAGGCAGCUUACCAAGCUACGUCUGACGUUGAGGCACGAAAGCGUGGGGAGCAAACAGGAUUAGAUACCCUGGGAGUC